rnacentral:rRNA from 1 species
AGAGUUUGAUCCUGGCUCAGAUUGAACGCUGGCGGCAUGCCUAACACAUGCAAGUCGAACGGCAGCGCGGGGAGCUUGCUCCCUGGCGGCGAGUGGCGAACGGGUGAGUAAUGCUUGGGAAUCUGCCCUGUAGUGGGGGACAACCCCGGGAAACUCGGGCUAAUAUUGUAUAUGUCCUACGGGAGAAAGUGGGGGAUUUUUGGACCUCGCGCUAUAGGAUGAGCCCAAGUCGGAUUAGCUAGUUGGUGGGGUAAAAGUUUACCAAGGCAAUGAUCCGUAGCUGGUCUGAGAGGACGAUCAGCCACACUGGGAUUGAGAUACGGCCCAGACUCCUACGGGAGGCAGCAGUGGGGAAUAUUGGACAAUGGGGGAAACCCUGAUCCAGCAAUGCCGCGUGUGUGAAGAAGGCCUGCGGGUUGUAAAGCACUUUCAGUAGAGAAGAAAAGCAUAGGGAUAAUAUCCCUGUGUCUUGACGUUACCUACAGAAGAAGCACCGGCUAAUUCCGUGCCAGUAGUUGUGGUAAUACGGAAGGUGCGAGCGUUAAUCGGAAUUACUGGGCGUAAAGCGCGCGUAGGCGGCUGAGUAAGUCGGAUGUGAAAGCCCUGGGCUUAACUUGGGAAUUGCAUUCGAAACUGCUCAACUAGAGUAUGGAAGAGGAAAGCGGAAUUCCCGGUGUAGCGGUGAAAUGUGUAGAUAUCGGGAGGAACACCAGUGGUGAAGGCGGCUUCCUGGUCCAAUACUGACGCUGAGGUGCGAAAGCGUGGGGAGCAAACAGGAUUAGAUAUCCUGGUAGUCCACGCUGUAAACGAUGAGAACUAGAUGUUGGAAGGGUUAGCCUUUCGGUGUCGUAGCUAAUGCGUUAAGUUCUCCGCCUGGGGAGUACGCUGGCAACGGUAAAACUCAAAGGAAUUGACGGGGACCCGCACAAGCGGUGGAGCAUGUGGUUUAAUUCGAUGCAAUGUGAAGAAUCUUACCUGCCCUUGACAUUUUUGGAACUUGUCAGAGAUGACUUGGUGCCUUCGGGAACCGAGUGACAGGUGCUGCAUGGCUGUCGUCAGCUCGUGUCGUGAGAUGUUGGGUUAAGUCCUGCAACGAGCGUAACCCUUGUCCCUAGUUGCCAGCACGUAAUGGUGGGAAUUCUAGGGAGACCGCCGGUGACAAACCGGAGGAAGGUGGGGACGACGUCAAGUCAUCAUGGCCCUUAUGGGCAGGGCUACACACGUGCUACAAUGGUCGGUACAGAGGGUUGCUAACCCGUGAGGGGGCGUUAAUUUUAGAAAACCGAUCGUAGUCCGGAUCGGAGUCUGUAAUUUGACUCCGUGAAGUCGGAAUCGCUAGUAAUCGCGAAUCAGUAUUGUCGCGGUGAAUACGUUCCCGGGUC